UACGAACUGUGCGAACGUUAUUCGGAAUCACUGGGCUUACAGGGUGCGUAGGCGGCUCAACAAGUCAGGUGUGAAAGCCCCCGGCUCAACCGGGGAACUGCGCUUGAAACUGUUAGGCUCGAGUCAGCUAGAGGUACACGGAACUUCCAGUGGAGCGGUGAAAUGUGUUGAUAUUGGAAGGAACACCGGAGGCGAAAGCGGUGUACUGGGGCUGGUCUGACGCUGAGACGCGAAAGCCAGGGGAGCGAACGGG
rnacentral:rRNA from 1 species